rnacentral:rRNA from 1 species
AGUGAACGCUGGCGGUAGGCCUAACACAUGCAAGUCGAACGGCAGCACAGUAAGAGCUUGCUCUUACGGGUGGCGAGUGGCGGACUGGUGCGGAAUACGUCGGGAUCUACUUUUUCGUGGGGGGUAACGUAGGGAAACUUACGCUAAUACCGCAUGCGACCUACGGGUGAAAGCAGGGGAUCUUCUGGCCUUGCGCGAUUGAAUGAGCCGAUGUCGGAUUAGCUAGUUGGCGGGGUAAAGGCCCACCAAGGCGACGAUCCGUAGCUGGUCUGAGAGGACGACCAGCCCAAAUGGGACUGAGACAACGGCCAGAAUCCUAAGGGAAGGAGCAGUGGGGAAUUUUGGACAAUGGGGGCAAGCCUGAUCCAGGCCUUCCGGGUGGGGGAAGGAGGCCUUCCGGUUGGAAAACCCUUUUGGUUGGAAAGAAAAGGCUCCGGGUAAUACCUCGGCUGUAUGACGGUACCCCAAGGAUAAGCACCGGCUAACUUCGUG